UAAUGACUGCGCUACCCAGGCGCCCCUCAAGUUUUCUAUAUAUAAUGUCGUGUCACCUGGUCUGACUUAACCAGGCAAGACCUUAAAAGAAGAUGAAACAUGAGAGAAAUAUUCCACUGACUUCGAAGACGUAGCUGACCCCUGACCAACUCCAGCAAACAAACAAACAAACAAAACAAACAAACAAACAGACAAACAAAAGAACCCAACAACCAAAACACAAACCAACAAAAAGCCAACCUGAGACCUACGUCCUACAACCACAAGGAAUUCAAUUAUAACAACAACCAGUAAAUUUGGAAAAGGACCCUGAGCUUCACAUGAGAACUACAGCCCUAGAUUUCAGCCUGCACAUGGCUGGACCACAUCUCCCCCAGCCCUUCAUCUGGACCAGCCACGUGACCAAUUCUUGCUGAGAGAUUGUGAGCGGAGGUAUUGUGACACUUCAGAUCAUUGAAUUAAAAGCUGGUGUGCUUUGUCCAGGCUCCGCCUUUCUUUGCUCCAUAGCAACCUUGGAGGCCACGUGUUGAAGAGGGCAGCCUCACAUGAUUCAAUAUGCCUGGAUCUCCAAGUCUCUGCUUUGAGGAAAACCCUAGCCCAGGAACAUCUGCAUUGGACUUUCCAUGAGAAAGAAAUAAACUUACGUUGUCCUAAGCUACUAAGGUUUGGGGGCUUGUUAAUUGCCCCUUUAUAACAUCCCAAAUAUUGUUUGAGAGUUGAUGGCACAUAGUGUCCAGACAUAUCAGCAGGAAUGUGAGGUCUGGAGUAGCAGCCAGACAAGGCAGAUUUUUUUUCCUCAUCUCAACCAUCAAGCUGGGCCCCCUUUUUAUACUCACAGUGUCUUGUACUAUAUAUAUAUACUAACGUUUAAAGAAGGGAUGAUCACUACAUUAGGAAUUGGCUCACGCAAUUAUGGAAGCUGAGAAAUCCCACAAUCUGCCAUCUGCAAGCUGCAAACCCAGGAAAGCUGGUGGUAUAGUUCAGCUGAAAUCUGAAGGUCUAAGAACCAGAAGGACUCAUGAUGUAAGUCUCAGUCUGAGCGGAGAAGUCCAAUGACCCAGCUCAAUCUGUCAGGCAGAGAAGGGACAAAGUUUUCCUUCUCUUGUCUUUUUUUUUAGUCAGGCCCUUAAAAGAUUGAAGGAUGCCCACUCUCAUUGGACAGGGAAAUCUGCUUUACUGAGUUCAAUGAUUCAAGUGUUAAUCUCAUCCAGAAACACCCUCACAGACACAGCCAGAAAUAAUGUUUAGCUAAAUAUUUGGGUCUUCCACGAUCCAGCCAUGUUGACGCAUAAAGUUAGCCGUCACAAUCACACAGCCCAUGUCCCUGGUUUGUGCCUAAUUAUUACCAAAUUCUUCCAUCCACUCACAGAAUCCUGCAACCUCCUCCUUCACAAAAUGGGAUUUUUAAUGUUACUAUCUCAAGAUACUUAAAAAUCUUUAUGUUUUAGUUUUAAGUGCUUUGGACUUGACCGAUCUUGCAUUUUCCAUUCUUUUCAACAUAACUUUUACAGAUUUUAAAAGGACAUCUGGAAGAAUUUCUCAAGGCUUUGUCCCUAGUUUUAAGAGCAUUAGACUGACAUGUUUGGAUGUUUAAGAGAGCUCUAAGAUUCACUAUACUUUUAAGUUUAAUUUAUUAUAUUUGUAGGAAUGAAUUCAUUGCUGAGAAGGUUUUGUUUGUUAGAUAUUUAAGGGGCUUAGAAAGUAAAUUGUUCAAUUUAUAAGGAUAUUUAGUUAAAUGGGACUAAUCAUCAGUCAAAGGCAUCUGUGUGAGUGAUCACUAAAUUUUACCAGAUUUAUAAAUAAAAUAAUAAGAUUUGUAAGUUGAACUCAAAAGCUUAAAGAAAAAUUAGGUUUGGAGUUUGUAACUUUAAUAAAUAAAAUAUAACAACCUCCUCAUUUAAUGGCAAAUUAUUUCCUGCAAACAAAAUCUCACAUUAUAGCUUAAAAAUAAAAUCAGAUAAUCAGAAUUUUAAAAAUAUGGUAUAGCUAAGAGUAAUGGGCUCUAGCCAGUGUCUGAGGAGCUCCUCAAAAAGGAAAGAGCAUGAAUUUUAGUAUGAAUAAAGGUGUGGUGUAUUUAGACGAGAAUGAUCAUCAGGGAUGUUUGUUAGAAGAUCAGCUUCCGGGCU